rnacentral:rRNA from 1 species
UACGUAGGGUGCAAGCGUUACUCGGAAUUACUGGGCGUAAAGCGUGCGCAGGCGGUUGUGCAAGACAGAUGUGAAAUCCCCGGGCUCAACCUGGGAACUGCAUUUGUGACUGCACAGCUUGAGUGCGGCAGAGGGGGAUGGAAUUCCGCGUGUAGCAGUGAAAUGCGUAGAUAUGCGGAGGAACACCGAUGGCGAAGGCAAUCCCCUGGGCCUGCACUGACGCUCAUGCACGAAAGCGUGGGGAGCAAACAGG